AGGUGAACCUGCGGAAGGAUCAUUACUGAGUGAGGGCCCUCUGGGUCCAACCUCCCACCCGUGUUUAUUGUACCUUGUUGCUUCGGUGCGCCCGCCUCACGGCCGCCGGGGGGCUUCUGCCCCCGGGUCCGCGCGCACCGGAGACACCAUUGAACUCUGUCUGAAGAUUGCAGUCUGAGCAUAAACUAAAUAAGUUAAAACUUUCAACAACGGAUCUCUUGGUUCCGGCAUCGAUGAAGAACGCAGCGAAAUGCGAUAACUAAUGUGAAUUGCAGAAUUCAGUGAAUCAUCGAGUCUUUGAACGCACAUUGCGCCCCCUGGUAUUCCGGGGGGCAUGCCUGUCCGAGCGUCAUUGCUGCCCUCAAGCACGGCUUGUGUGUUGGGCUCCGUCCCCCCGGGGACGGGUCCGAAAGGCAGCGGCGGCACCGAGUCCGGUCCUCGAGCGUAUGGGGCUUUGUCACCCGCUCUGUAGGCCCGGCCGGCGCCAGCCGACAACCAAUCAUCCUUUUUUCAGGUUGACCUCGGAUCAGGUAGGGAUACCCGCUGAACUUAAGCAUAUCAUUAAGCGGAGGAAA
rnacentral:rRNA from 1 species